rnacentral:rRNA from 1 species
GAGUGAACGCGUGGCGGCGUGCUUAACACAUGCAAGUCGAGCGGAAGCGCUUUGAAUUUUUCGGAAUGAGAAGUGACUGAGCGGGCGACGGGUGAGUAACGCGUGGGUAACCUGCCUCAUACAGGGGGAUAACAGUUAGAAAUGACUGCUAAUACCGCAUAAGCGCACGUCAUCGCAUGAUGGUGUGUGAAAAACUCCGGUGGUAUGAGAUGGACCCGCGUCUGAUUAGCUAGUUGGCGGGGUAACGGCCCACCAAGGCGACGAUCAGUAGCCGGACUGAGAGGUUGGCCGGCCACAUUGGGACUGAGACACGGCCCAG